CUAGCCUCACAGCAGAGCGAGUCUGGUCCAUGCCUCAGUGAUAUCAUAAACUGCUAUAUGUCACAGAUCUUAGUGACCUGUCUUCAUAGUCAGACCCCAGGGCUAUAAAUCUGAUGCUGAGGAUCAACUGGGUCUGCCAAACAUAGUUUGAGAAUUUUAGUGAUCCAAACCAGAGAUUCAUACCUGAAAUGUAACAUGGACAACAGCAAAUCAUUUCAGAUCUGCAUUAUGGAGCAUCUGCCGGCGGUAGUACACAGAAUGGGGCUCUGAGGUCAAACUGCCCGAGUUCAAAUCCUGUGUCCUUGGGAAAAUCGACUGUCUAAAUUUGAAAGAAAAAAGGAAGACAUCAUUAAAACCAUUAGGCUGGCAACAAUGCAGUAGUUUUUAAUUCAAUGGUGCUCAGAGAGUGGCAUGAAGGUUCUUGAUUAUCCAGGAUUUGAUGAUGGAUGUAGGACUCUCUAGUUCAUUUUAAUGGCUGAGAUUGGUGUGCUUCCGAAGAAAAAGCUUUGAGAUAUGAAAAAGAAAAUACCAUCUACAUGUUUCUGAGAACUUUUUUUGUAACCCUGAAUGUUAAGUUGUAGUUUCAUUUUUAUAGAAAAUCUGUUUUCAGCAGGUAGAACUAAAAAUUACUGUCAGAGAUGAAUGAUUUCCAGGGGAGUCAGAAUUUAUACACAUUUUAUGUUUUUCUGUAUAUAUUCACUUCCUCCCCUUCUUAUGACCUGAGGUCCUAUUCUUCCCAUUGUGAUGUCACAAUCAUUGCACAAUAACUAAAAACUAGAAGGUUUAAAUUCUUGUUAUUCAGGAGCCAAAAACAAGAUUACUGACCUGUGGAUUCCCAUUUUAUGAAAGCAAGGAUGAAGGAAACUUAAGACAUAAAAUUUCAUAUGAGAUGUUCUUAGAAAUUCUGUGUUGAAAUGAACCUGUUCCUAAGGAGAAUAUUUAAAAUUUUUUCUUUGACAUAUUAGAGGAGGUUUAACUAUCUUUGUUAAAUAAGUUACAGGCUAUUCAUUAGGCUAAGUGAAAUGUCCAAAGGUCAGGAUGACUAUGUCUCAAGUCUUAUUCACAACUAAAUGAUGAAUUUUGACAAGGAUUCUCAGUUGUGGAUCAGGAAGAUUAGAGGAUGCAUAUUGUAGGGGUUUAAAUACUUUGAAUGCAAUUUCUUUCAAAGUCCAUCUAAUACAGGCUUAACAUAGUCCCUAAAUUUUCUAUUUACAAAAGGAACACAAUUUACAUGUGACUUCAUCAAAGAGGCAAGAGGGUGGCUUCAUCUUUAUUCUAAGUGAUUCUAUCCGAUGCCUGAGAAUAUGGUGUGAUGUGACUUUGGGGGAAAUGGUGCCAAGAAAUGUCCCUUAAUCAUGUGUAAAUAUCUGAAAUUCUACUCUUAAGAGUAUGUGGAGCGAUUGCAGUAGUAUACAGAAGACAGUACAGACUUUGGAAACAAAACUCAGUCCAUAAUCUAGGGCUUAUCACUUACCAGCAGUAGAGCUUUGGCAACCUUGAUCUUAUCUAUAAAUUGGAGAUAAUGAGAUCAGUGAAGUCAUUCUCCUGGGUCCACUUUCUAGUCACCUCUAGUCUCCUUAUCUCUUACUGCAAUUCACCAUUGCAGUGAAUGCAGCUUCUUUGAGGCUGGAAGACCUGAAGUUCUUGUUCUUUCAUCUUCUUUGCAGAUAGGGGUAGCCACUGACCCAGUUCUGGCCAAUGAGAGGUACAUGGAAACCUGUUGGGGGCUUCUGAGAGAACUUCUGCUUCCUUCUAAAGCCCCAAAAGAGAUCUCAUUCGUAUUACCUCUUUUCUUUCUUCUCUCUGAAAUCUGGGGCUUCAUUAGCCAUCUUGCAUUAUGGAAAAAAGGUGAAUAAGAAUGAAAAGGCAAUUUGCUAGGUAUAGCAGAAUAGAAAAGUAGAAAGACUCUAAGAGCCUUUGACGGCAUCAUCGAACGGAUGAAAUGCCAACUUCUACGUUUAUUGUAAUAUGAGAGAAUUGACUGUCUUUGAGGUUUAAAGACACUCACUCACUAUCAUCAGUGAGAUAUUCUGCUUCUUAUAGCUGAAAGCAUUUCCUACAUGCCUAUCUCACAAUCAUGUUAUAAUGAUUAAAUGAAAUUUUAAAACCCUAGCACAAGACUUGGUUCACAGUAGACAGAGAAUACGUUAGUCCCUUUCUCUACCAAUGCUUUCCAUCUAUCUGUAAGUACAAAGACAUAGUAACAGAAUAAUUCAUUAAAUGUUUCACACUCAUUUAUUAAUGCUGUUAGCUGCUCUCCUCUUCAGGAGGGGAUAUAAAAGGCCUGAUAGACUAUGUCAAGGUUGUGUUUAAAAUAGGAGCACUGAAGGAUUUUCAAGUGAGGACACCAUAUGGUGAGAUUUUCUUUAUAGAUAAAUCAGCCUAGAGGUUUUGAGGGAUAUAUUUUGGGUGGAAUGGGGCUUGAAGCAGGGAAAAGAAAGGAAAGUCUUGCAUAUAAAGUCUUUGUAAUAAUCUGCUAUAGAUGAUGAAAGUAAAACUGGGGCAGCAACAGCAGCAAUGGAGAAGAUGAAAGGAAGGUAAACCUACUUUAGAAGGUAUAAUAAUCAGGAUUUGGUGUUUGAUUGGAUAUGUAUGUGAGGAGCAGGUUGGGGUCAAGAAUUAAUCCUAUGUUUCUAGCUUGAGCAUCUACAUGGGGUAGGGGAGUUAUACAAAUAAUUGAGAAAAAUACAGUUAUUAUUGAUUCAGAGAAAUGUUAACAUGUUCAGGCAUACUGAACUAGGUGUAUCCAUGAGAUAUAUUGAAUAUUUGAAGCUGAAGGGAAAUGCAGAAGCCUUCAGUUUAAAAGUAGAGGCUAAAUCAUAAGAGCGCAUGAGGAAAAAAAGAAAAUAUUUAAUUUUAGUAUGCUUGCAGAUAAAAAUGAGACAAUAAUAAAUGGAUAUUAAUAAACUACCAGGAAAGUAAUGAAAAUGGAAGCAUGGCCAAGAUAAUGGAGUAGGAAGAUGCUGAGCUCACCUCGUCUCAUGGGCACUCCAAAAUUACAACUAUUUACAGAGAAACUAUCUAUGAGGAUGACCUGAAAACCAGCACAAAAGAUUUUCCACAACAGAAAAACAUCUAUUUCUUCUUUAUUGACUAUGCCAAAGCCUUUGACUGUGUCGAUCACCAUAAACUGUGGAAAAUUCUGAAAGAGAUGGGAAUACAGACCACCUGACCUGCCUCUUGAGAAAUCUGUACGCAGGUCAGGAAGCAACAGUUAGAACUGGACAUGGAACAACGGACUGGUUCCAAAUAGGAAAAGGAGUACAUCAAGGCU
ensembl:lncRNA